rnacentral:rRNA from 1 species
CCUACGGGUGGCAGCAGUGAGGAAUAUUGGUCAAUGGCCGGAAGGCUGAACCAGCCAAGCCGCGUGAAGGACGAAGGUGCCAAGCAUUGUAAACUUCUUUUGUCAAGGGACAAAAUCAGGCGCGAGAGCCUGACCGAGGGUACUUGAAGAAAAAGCAUCGGCUAACUACGUGCCAGCAGCCGCGGUAAUACGUAGGGGGCAAGCGUUAUCCGGAUUUACUGGGGGUAACGGGAGCGUAGACGGUUAUGUAAGUCUGGAGUGAAAGCCCGGGGCCCAACCCCGGGACUGCUUUGGAAACUGUGUAACUGGAGUAUAGGAGGGGCAGGCGGAAUUCCUGGUGUAGCGGUGAAAUGCGUAGAGAUGAGGAGGAAGACCGGCGGCGAAGGCGGCCUGCUGGACUGAAACUGACGUUGAGGCUCGAAAGCGUGGGGAGCAAACAGGAUUAGAUACCCCUGUAGUC